UACGUAGGGUGCGAGCGUUGUCCGGAUUUAUUGGGCGUAAAGAGCUCGUAGGUGGCCUGUCGCGUCGGCUGUGAAAAACUCGGGGCUCAACUCCGAGCUUGCAGUCGAUACGGGCAGGCUAGAGUCCGGAAGAGGAGUGUGGAAUUCCCGGUGUAGCGGUGGAAUGCGCAGAUAUCGGGAGGAACACCCGUGGCGAAGGCGGCACUCUGGGACGGUACUGACGCUGAGACGCGAAAGCGUGGG
rnacentral:rRNA from 1 species